rnacentral:lncRNA from 1 species
AUAUAUCUAAAACCACUUCACACAGUCAAUUGAACCACAUUUACUAAUUUCUAUAAUAAACCAACUGUUUUGCAAAAUUUCGUAUAACUAACUGUUUCAAUUUAUCAUAUGAACUAACAAAACUUAUAAUUAUUUUACCUUUCUUAUAUGCUUGAUUUGCUAAUACUCUACUACAAUUCCACACUAUUUGUAUGCUAACUUUGGCAUUGGUUUGAAAAUCCUUUCUCCACUUCUCUUCUUUAUAGUUUCCUUUAUCAAAUCAAUCCAUCUUGCACUUCCUUAGCCGAACUGCUGGACUGACCGGAUCUUUAAGGAGUUUUGUGAAGCUUUUAUUACAUAAGGAACUUGGUUUAAGGAGUAAUGAGAAUGAAUAGAGCUGGGAUUGAAAAAGGAAAGAGUACGAAUGGAAAAUAUUUGCUUUAGCAUUUCAUUGAUAGCUUUAAGGAGUUGACAGCUCCUGCAUUGAUUGAGAUUAAUGACACCACCAAAAUCUCUAAA